rnacentral:rRNA from 1 species
AGCAGCCGCGGUAAUUCCAGCUCCAAUAGCGUAUAUUAAAGUUGUUGCAGUUAAAAAGCUCGUAGUUGAAUUUCGGGGUUAGUAGGUUGGUCAUGCCUCUGGUAUGUACUGGCCUCACUGAUUCCUCCUUCCUGAUGAACCGUAAUGCCAUUAAUUUGGUGUUGCGGGAAUUUGGACUGUUACUUUGAAAAAUUAGAGUGUUUAAAGCAAGCUAACGCUUGAAUACAUUAGCAUGGAAUAAUGAAAUAGGACGUUCGAUCCUAUUUUGUUGGUUUCUAGGAUUGACGUAAUGAUUAAUAGGGAUAGUUGGGGGCAUUAGUAUUCAAUUGUCAGAGGUGAAAUUCUUGGAUUUAUUGAAGACUAACUACUGCGAAAGCAUUUGCCAAGGAUGUUUCAUUAAUCAAGAACGAAAGUUAGGGGUCGAAGACGAUCGAGAUACCGUCGUAGUC